rnacentral:lncRNA from 1 species
GAUGGGAUUCAAUUGGGAUUGUUUAAAAUCCAUUAAAAUCUGAUGGUAUUCAAAUGCUGAUGGAUUUUUUUUUGCAUUUCAUAAAAUGAUGGAUUUUGUGGCAUUCUUAGUGUAUUUUAAGUUUUUUGAAAUUUUUCAUCAAAAUCAAUGGGAUUUUGAAGCAUUGUGCUUAAAUCCUAUCAACUCUGCGCCAUUUUAUCAAGAAUCCGCACAAAAUCAAAAUCAGACACAAUCCAUUAAAAUCCAUAGACUAAAAACAAUCCAUUAAAAUCCCAAUCGAAUACACCCCUCUAAUUUACGAACCUAUAUAUUCGGGUUAAUUAUCAAGUUGGUCACCAAAGUGGGUUUAAUAUAUCAAGUUGGUCACUGAACUGAAAACGGUAUCAAGAUGGUCACUAAAGUCACCAUAAAUAUCGAACAAGUGCCUUGAAAUAUAAGUUCAAGCAACAAAAAUUUUAUUUAUAGAACUUUACACAUCAUUUAUGAAUUUUACGACAACC